rnacentral:rRNA from 1 species
UACGAAGGGGGCUAGCGUUGCUCGGAAUUACUGGGCGUAAAGCGCACGUAGGCGGUCUUUUAAGUCGGGGGUGAAAUCCUGGAGCUCAACUCCAGAACUGCCUUCGAUACUGGAAGACUUGAGUCCGGGAGAGGUGAGUGGAACUGCGAGUGUAGAGGUGAAAUGCGUAGAGAUCCGGAGGAACACCAAAGGCGAAGGCAGUGUCCUGGGGAGUACCUGACGCUCAGGUGCGAAAGCCAGGGGAGCGAACGGG